GUAGUCAUAUGUUUGUCCCAAAGAUUCAGCCAUGCAUGUGUAAGUAUAAGCAAUCAUACUGUGAAACUGAGAAUGCCUCAUUAAAUCAGUUAUUGUUUAUUUGAUAGUACCUUUACCGGGAUAUCUGUGGUAAUUCAAAAGUUAAUCCAUGUUAAAAACCCCGAUUUCGGAAGGGGUGUAUUUUUUAGAUAAAAAACCAAUGCCUUUUGGGCUCCUUGGUGAUUCAUAAUAACUAAACGAAUCGCAUGGCCUUGCGCCGGCGAUGGUUCAUUCAAAUUUCUGCCCUAUCAACUUUCGAUUGUAGGAUAGAGGCCUACAAUGGUUUCAACGGGUAACGGGGAAUG
rnacentral:rRNA from 1 species